GUGGUGGUGGUAUAGUGGUGAGCAUGCUGCGCUUAAGCAGUUGACCAGGGUUCGAUUCCCAGCCAUCACA